AACGUAGGUGGCAAGCGUUAUCCGGAUUUACUGGGCGUAAAGCGUGUGCAGGCGGUGCCUCAAGUGGUGUAUGAAAUCGCCCGGCUUAACCGGGCGAGGUUAGGCCAGACUGAGGGACUGGAGGACGGGAGAGGGGCGUGGAAUUCCGGGUGUAGUGGUGAAAUGCGUAGAGAUCCGGAGGAACCCCAGCGGCGAAGGCGGCGCCCUGGCCCGUUUCUGACGCUCAGACACGACAGCAUGGGGAG
rnacentral:rRNA from 1 species